rnacentral:tRNA from 1 species
GGGCGAUUAGCUCAGUUGGUAGAGCGCCUGCCUUACAAGCAGGAUGUCGGCGGUUCAAGUCCGUCAUCGCCCA